AUUGAACGCUGGCGGCAGGCCUAACACAUGCAAGUCGAACGAGUGGCGGACGGGUGAGUAAUGUCUGGGAAACUGCCCGAUGGAGGGGGAUAACUACUGGAAACGGUAGCUAAUACCGCGUACCCUCGGAUGUGCCCAGAUGGGGGUGGCUUGGAGGUGGGGUAACGGCUCACCUAGGCGACGAUCCCUAGCUGGUCUGAGAGGAUGACCAGCCACACUGGGACUGAGACACGGUCCAUACUCCUACGGGAGGCAGAAGUGGGGAAUAUUGCACAAUGGGGGCAACCCUGAUGCAGCCAUGCCGCGUGUAUGAAGAAGGCCUUCGGGUUGUAAAGUACUUUCAGCGGGGAAGCGUUACCCGCAGAAUAAGCACCGGCUAACUCCGUGCCAGCAGCCGCGGUAAUAC
rnacentral:rRNA from 1 species